UUCAUAGCUCUACCAACACAUAGUUUUAAGUGGGGGGAGUACUAUGUAUCCUGGAUUGCCUAGUCGCCUGGAGAAAGAAAUUUUAGACCGUUAUCUUGAAGCUGUUCUGAAGGGAAACAAGGAUGGGUUGAAGAAACUACGGUUGCGGAUAGAGGAUCCACCGCGAAGAAAGCAUAUGGUGUACCUUGGAGGAGCAGUCCUUGCAGGAAUUAUGAAGGAUGCACCAGAGUUUUGGAUUAGCAGAGAAGAUUACCCGGAAGAG